rnacentral:rRNA from 1 species
AUUGAACGCUGGCGGCAGGCCUAACACAUGCAAGUCGAGCGGCAGCGGGAAAGUAGCUUGCUACUUUUGCCGGCGAGCGGCGGACGGGUGAGUAAUGCCUGGGAAAUUGCCUAGUCGAGGGGGAUAACAGUUGGAAACGACUGCUAAUACCGCAUACGCCCUACGGGGGAAAGCAGGGGACCUUCGGGCCUUGCGCGAUUGGAUAUGCCCAGGUGGGAUUAGCUAGUUGGUGAGGUAAUGGCUCACCAAGGCGACGAUCCCUAGCUGGUCUGAGAGGAUGAUCAGCCACACUGGAACUGAGACACGGUCCAGACUCCUACGGGAGGCAGCAGUGGGGAAUAUUGCACAAUGGGGGAAACCCUGAUGCAGCCAUGCCGCGUGUGUGAAGAAGGCCUUCGGGUUGUAAAGCACUUUCAGCGAGGAGGAAAGGUUGAUGCCUAAUACGCAUCAACUGUGACGUUACUCGCAGAAGAAGCACCGGCUAACUCCGUGCCAGCAGCCGCGGUAACAC